UACAGAGGGUGCAAACGUUGCUCGGAAUCAUUGGGCGUAAAGCGCACGUAGGCGGCCCAGCAAGUGGGGAGUGAAAGCCCUCGGCUUAACCGAGGAACUGCCUGUCAGACUGCAUGGCUUGAGACCGGGAGAGGUGAGUGGAAUUCCCAGUGUAGCGGUGAAAUGCGUAGAUAUUGGGAGGAACACCAGUGGCGAAGGCGGCUCACUGGACCGGUACUGACGCUGAGGCGCGAAAGCGUGGGGAGCAAACAGG
rnacentral:rRNA from 1 species